GGUUCUGUAGUGUAGUGGUUAGCACGUCUGCUUUACAUUCAGAAGGUCUUGGGUUCAUGCCCCAGUGGAGCCA
rnacentral:tRNA from 1 species